UCGGCUUAACCGGAGAAGUGCAUCGGAAACUGGAUAACUUGAGUGCAGAAGAGGGUAGUGGAACUCCAUGUGUAGCGGUGGAAUGCGUAGAUAUAUGGAAGAACACCAGUGGCGAAGGCGGCUACCUGGUCUGCAACUGACGCUGAGACUCGAAAGCAUGGGUAGCGAACAGGACUAGAUACCCUGGUAGUCCAUGCCGUAAACGAUGAGUGCUAGGUGUUGGAGGGUUUCCGCCCUUCAGUGCCGGAGCUAACGCAUUAAGCACUCCGCCUGGGGAGUACGACCGCAAGGUUGAAACUCAAAGGAAUUGACGGGGGCCCGCACAAGCGGUGGAGCAUGUGGUUUAAUUCGAAGCUACGCGAAGAACCUUACCAGGUCUUGACAUCUUGCGCCAACCCUAGAGAUAGGGCGUUUCCUUCGGGAACGCAAUGACAGGUGGUGCAUGGUCGUCGUCAGCUCGUGUCGUGAGACGUUGGGUUAAGUCCCGCAACGAGCGCAACCCUUAUUGUUAGUUGCCAGCAUUUAGUUGGGCACUCUAACGAGACUGCCGGUGACAAACCGGAGGAAGGUGGGGAUGACGUCAAAUCAUCAUGCCCCUUAUGACCUGGGCUACACACGUGCUACAAUGGACGGUACAACGAGUCGCAAGACCGCGAGGUCAAGCUAAUCUCUGAAAACCGUUCUCAGUUCGGAUUGCAGGCUGCAACUCGCCUGCAUGAAGUCGGAAUCGCUAGUAAUCGCGGAUCAGCAUGCCGCGGUGAAUACGUUCCCGGGCCUUGUACACACCGCCCGUCACACCAUGAGAGUUUGUAACACCCAAAGCCGGUGGGGUAACCUUUGGGAGCCAGCCGUCUAAGGUGGGACAGAUGAUUGGGGUGAAGUCGUAACAAGGUAACCGUA
rnacentral:rRNA from 1 species